UUUUAUCAUAACUACUUGAUUUAUCAUCCUGGUUUUCAAGAAAAGAACCUGUUGUAGUAGGCGUCUUGCGGGGGCACGGGAUGUACGGGACAGGCCUCUCCCUAAACAUAGAGAGAUAGUGCUAUCGUGCUGACCUUGUUGCAGAGAAAACAGGAGAAGAAGAAGGAUGAUAAAAGAAUGUGGAAACGGCCAAAUAAGGCACAAUGUUAUCUGGUGUGAACUAAUCAGAGUGGGACAUGACAGCACGGUUAUCUAGGUAAAAUGUAUAUAAGCUGUGUUUAGUAGUGAAUAAACGCCAUUUGCCUCACUUACUCCUGGGGUCUGGGUGAGCAUCUGGCCCCGACCUGGUAAAGGGUCGGUUUCGCCCAGCAGUAAGCCCUACAUGUGGACAGAGGACGAACACCGGACGAGCGAACGGAGACUACAUGCAACAAGUGGUGACCCCGACGUGAUCUGUCUGCUGAGGGUGGCUGCCCGGCGUGCCCGUGACGCGGAGAAGAGCCUGUGAGGUGGCGGCAGGUCGCGCACGGAAGACGUAUUGCGGUUAAGAGCCUGCGAGGUGGCGGCAGGUCGCAUACGUAACAAUGGACCAAGUCAUUAAGGUACUUGUGCAGUUUUGUAAGGACUACUUUGGAAAAUGUGCUCCUUCCCGGAAGGAGAUCGCGGCAGUUUUGUCGCUAUUAAAUGAGCUGGGGGAGCUGGACUCUCCCCGCUACGUUUUGGAUUCGAGUAGGUGGGACUUGCUCACCUCGGUGCUAUGCCAGCGCGCCAUGGCCAGUCAGAAGGCUACGGAACUUAAAACGUGGGGACUGAUAUUAGGAGCCCUUAAAGCGGCCAGAGUUGAGGGAAAGGUAUUGGUGGAGGCUCGAUACCUUUUGGGUCUCAGCGGAGGAGGUGAGACACAGGACCCGGUCGGGUCCGAUGGGGGUUCGGGAGCAGUUUCUUGCAGGGGCCGAGAGGAGACGGAGCCGCCAAUGACCGUUGGCGGGAUGGCGCCGGCUGAGCCGACCGCGCUCAGUUCAAAAGAAGACAAACAACAAGAGAGUGAAAGUUCGUUGUCUCGUCCCCCUCCCCCGUAUCCAAACCCCUCAGGUGGAACGUUGUAUCCUUUAUCAGAAUUACGUCAGUGUUACCUGACUCAAGGGGGCGGAGGAAGCUGUGAUCUACACGGGCAGGAUCAACUUAGUGCCCACAUGGGGAGGGACCAGACAGAAGGUCCGUCCAAUGCGGACAGGGGGCAUAGCCUACUGUCUCUGGUCACUCCCAGGGGCGGUAGUGCGAGUGAUAGUGUAGAAGAGAAAGAAGGGACUGGCUUUGAGUGCAGGGGGAGGGAUCAAAUGACGGACUGGAAUGGGAUUAGAUCGGAGGCUUUGGGAAAGGGUAUAGUUCCAGAGGCAUUCCGGGUGAUUGUGAGUGAUCGUGGUCCCGAAUGGGUGCCGCCUGACCCCGGGGGUGUUACGCGCCUGGUGGAAUUUAUGGAUAAAAGAGGCCUGAAAUCGCCUCUGACAUUAAAUGCACUACAAACUUUGGCUGCACUGGGGCCUCUCUUCCCCCGUGACAUCACAAACUUAAUGCGUACGGUGCUCAGGCUGGUUCAAUAUACGUUAUGGGAGACGGACUGGGUGGCCGAGUUGGGGGGCCGUGCCGGGGCGACAGGGGUCGGCCCGCACCGCUCCCUGCAUGGGACCGGAAUACAGCGGCUUUCAGGGAAGGCCGUGGGAGUGGCUUCGCCCCAGGGCCAGCUAGCGAGACUAAGGCCAGGGGAGCUAAUAGCAGCCACAGAUGCAGUGGUGGAAGCGUUUAAUAAACUUGUGCAUAAGGCCGAACCACCUACUCCGUGCACAGAUAUUACCCAGGGCCCGAAUGAAUCCUUUCAAAGCUUUACAGACAGGCUUUUAGCUGCUGCAGAGGGGUCUGAUCUCCUGGUACCGGCCCAAGGGCCAGUGAUCAUUGACUGCUUGCAGCAGAAAUCGCAUGACAAUGUUAAGGCAUUGCUGCGAGCCGGCCGAAGUACGCUUAAUACCUCGGGAGCCGGCCGAAGUACGCUUAAUAUCCAGGGAGAAGUUAUUCAGUAUGUCUUAGAUAAGCUCAAGGUGGCUCAUUUAACUAAUGAAAGGCUAGUCACAGCUAUUGUCGUAGCUGUUGGCCUGCGACAGCAAAGAUCGCUGCAGCAGCAAGGGCUGUGUUUCCGAUACGGCCAGUAUGGCCAUGUUAGAGCACAAUGCCCCUGUGGGGGAGGCCAGUCAGGGCCUCCUGAUCACAGGAAGGGCUUGCUAAAGGGUAUCCGUGGUCGGGUAUGCAGCAGUUAAAUAUCAUGAAUCUGGGAAAUUCUGUGGGUACCAUCGCGAAAAGUAAUACCAGAUAUAAGUAGCAUAUCUGCAAAAACUGAGUCUAGGUGCGAGUUUUCUACAGAAAUUCUUCGUUGGCAGACCGAAGCCAACUCCAGAACAACUGAGGGACAGACGAUGGGAUCAAGAACCACUCGUCAAGAGGAGCACUACACCUGCAACGCUGACACUUCCGAUGUUGCUGAUAUUUAUGGUGUCCAUGGCGAUUACAGAGUGUCACAAACAACUACAAUGGACACAAGAACAUAUGCAGAAAAUUAAAGAAGAGCGUGAUCCCUUUGGAAGCUGGCUGGACGGACUGUUUGGGGGAACGGGUUCAUGGUUAAAGCAAUUGCUUAAAGCUCUCGCAGUAGGAUUUGCAAUCUUUGUGUGUAUUCUAAUCUGUCUUCCAUGCUUUGUAGGAUGCUUGCCUUCAACGAAUGAUGGACAAGACUUUUGACUAUCACAUUGAGUAUCAUAGAUUGCGUGAAAAAUUAUAGAGGGGUUUAGGUUGUUGCGUUCGUGCUGUAACGGGGCAAGGCUUGGCCGAGCACGGAAAAGAAUUCCCUGUUGCUCUGAUGAUUGCUUAAGAACUGUAGUAGAAAAUAGUAGGAAUAGUGUGCUGAAAUAUAUUUAGGAUUAGGCGUUUUGCGCUGCUUCGCGAUGUACGGGUUAGGUGUGUGUGUAAGUAGUAUUUAGCUUAGGGAGGGGGAGAUGUUGUAGUAGGCGUCUUGCGGGGGCACGGGAUGUACGGGACAGGCCUCUCCCUAAACAUAGAGAGAUAGUGCUAUCGUGCUGACCUUGUUGCAGAGAAAACAGGAGAAGAAGAAGGAUGAUAAAAGAAUGUGGAAACGGCCAAAUAAGGCACAAUGUUAUCUGGUGUGAACUAAUCAGAGUGGGACAUGACAGCACGGUUAUCUAGGUAAAAUGUAUAUAAGCUGUGUUUAGUAGUGAAUAAACGCCAUUUGCCUCACUUACUCCUGGGGUCUGGGUGAGCAUCUGGCCCCGACCUGGUAAAGGGUCGGUUUCGCCCAGCAGUAAGCCCUACAUGUGGACAGAGGACGAACACCGGACGAGCGAACGGAGACUACAUGCAACAGAACCGUGUUCUCAGCUGAUUUCAAAUUUGUCGCCAGGAUCAUGGUUAUCUUCUGCUAAAGAAAUUCUUUACUCCUUUGUCCCAAAGAUGAA
ensembl:lncRNA